AUGGCAUAUUUACAGUUAAAUCGCUGUAUAAAAAAAUUGGUGGCUGAUGGACUCAGAUAUCCACGGAAAUUUCUGUGGAAAAUCAAAGUCCCAGCAAAAAUUAAGGUGUUCUUAUGGAUAAGCAAUUAAAAAAGCAUACUUACUAAAGACUCCUUGUUGAAAAGAGGGUGGAAAGGGGAUAAAAACUAUGUAUUCUGUGGAAAAGAUGAAUCUGCGAAUCACUUAUUCUUUACCUGUUCUGCUGCUUCUUUGAUUUGGAGCUUAAUCAAAUGUACCUUGGGUUUGAAACGAACACCUUUGUCAAUGCAUGAGUGCUUGGGAUCUUGGUUGAAUUCCUUUGGAAAAGAGGAUAAAAAACUUGUUCUGGUGGGAAUUUCUGCUACUUGUUGGGCUUUAUGA
rnacentral:rRNA from 1 species